GACACUAAACUGUGUGGGGUCUAAGUUUUGAAGUGCAUAUUUUUGAUAUUGCAAUUAAACUAAAAUUAAAAAGAAAA
ensembl:misc_RNA Gm56477 predicted gene, 27645